GCAAGGGACGGUUCUUAAUAAGCAUGUGUAGUCGUUUGGUUCUGUUCUUUCUCUCUCUGGAUCAAAGUAGUAAACUUUUGCUUCGGAUUUAAGUUUAACCCAUCUCUCACCUUCCCUUGCAAUCAAAUCUCCAACCAAAUUAAUCUCUCUGGGCAAUUCUCACUCUUAUUCUCCGACAGAGAACAGUCUCGACCUUCGUCUUAAGUUGAGCCUAGGUCGAUAGGGCUUCUCACGCUGAUGAUUCUUCUUCUUGUUCAUCGUCAUCACCUUCUGCUUUUGUGGCUUUUGUGUGAUCUAAUAUAUCUAUCGUGGCUUCAUCUCUCCUAUUUUUAAGCAAAUAAGUAACCUUCCAUCUUCUCUUUCUUACUCCAUCUAUUGUAGUCUGAUCUGUUGAUUGUGUAGUUCUGUAGUUCUGUUCUGCUUUGGUGUUUAAUUCCUCUUUGCAAGCAAGUAAUAUUCUAUUGGAAACUUGAGAGUUUGGGUUUGUAAAGUUCGUGCGAUCGUCAUUGUUACUUUAAUUUUCUAAUUACUCUGUCAAAGGUCAGAACUUUGCUUCAACCCUUUAAGCGACCACUAUUCUGAGUAUGAUGUCGAGGAUUCAAUACCGCUGGUCCAGCCAUCCCUAUGUUACACUGCACCUGAAUUUGUGCGCAGCAAAAGUCCUUCAGCUGGAGCUUCGUCAGACAGUUUCAGUUUUGGAUGCAUUGCCUAUCAUUUGGUUGCUAGGAAACCGUUGUUGGAUUGCAAUAACAAUGUCAAGAUGGUAACUCUCAAUACCCUCUGGUUUUGAUUUAUCGUCUCAUGCUUUGUAUCUUCGGAAUUUGGUUUUGCAACCAAUCAUCUUGCCAAUGUUUCUAACUAUAGCACAGUCUCAGGUAACUUUAAAUUUGAUAAUCAGUCUCCCAUGUGUUUCUUCACUAGAUUGUUGUUGAUAUAUUGAUCUCAGUGGUUUCUAGAUAAAACUUGUUUUCCUUAUUAUUUACUCUACUUGUAUCCGAGCUCAGCAAAGGUUCUCCUUUAACUUUUUAGUUGUAACAAAUGGUGUAUGUUGUUAUUUCUCAACCUGUAACUUUGUACAAAACUUUGAAGUUUCCUUGACCAACCUGAUAAUUACAUUUACAGGAUAGGAAUGACUUUGAGUUGACAACACUGCCCGCUCUUGUUCCUCUUCUGAGUACUGAAAGCUUUGAAAGCUUCCAUAUUGAUGUUAGACUGGCUUCUCUAUGUUUCCGAAUACCAGUUCUAAAUAUGCAUUGAAAUCACUUUUCUUUUUGUUUUCUAUUGCAUACAGGGUAAGAUCCUUGCUUGACUUAUAUUUUUAUGUAAUUUUUCAGACUGAUAGCGAGCAUCUUGUAUCGCAUGUUCUCCCUUUGCUUCUCCGAGCCUACAAUGAUAACGAUGUCCGCAUACAGGAGGAAGUUCUUAAAAGAUCAACAUCUGUCGCUAAGCAACUCGAUGGUCAGGUUGUGAAGAUUCAUAAUAGAGAACACAGUGGAGGAAAAGAUUCUGAAGCUUCAAAAGAAGAAGGAACUUGUGUUUGAAGGGACCGUUGGUGGUUCUCAGGAGGCUAUAGGAAAGUUGACAGCGGAAGAUAUGUCUUGUACUCGCUUGUGUUGUUGUAAUGAAAGUGUCACGGACUUUGUAUGUUUUUGUAAGUACUAGUAUUCACAUGUCUUAGAAACUUGUAUAAAUGAAACUAGUAUUCACAAGUUCUCAAGUUA